UACGGAGGGGGCUAGCGUUGUUCGGAAUUACUGGGCGUAAAGCGCACGUAGGCGGCUUUGCAAGUUAGAGGUGAAAGCCCGGGGCUCAACCCCGGAAUUGCCUUUAAAACUGCAUCGCUAGAAUUGUGGAGAGGUAAGUGGAAUUCCGAGUGUAGAGGUGAAAUUCGUAGAUAUUCGCAAGAACACCAGUGGCGAAGGCGGCUCACUGGCCCGGUACUGACGCUGAGGUGCGAAAGCGUGGGGAGCAAACAGG
rnacentral:rRNA from 1 species